rnacentral:rRNA from 1 species
GAUGAACGCUGGCGGCGUGCCUAAUACAUGCAAGUCGAGCGAACAGACGAGGAGCUUGCUCCUCUGACGUUAGCCGCGGACGGGUGAGUAACACGUGGAUAACCUACCUAUAAGACUGGGAUAACUCCGGGAAACCGGAGCUAAUACCGGAUAAUAUAUUGAACCGCAUGGUUCAAUAGUGAAAGACGGUUUUGCUGUCACUUAUAGAUGGAUCCGCGCCGCAGUAGCUAGUUGGUAAGGUAACGGCUUACCAAGGCAACGAUGCGUAGCCGACCUGAGAGGGUGAUCGGCCACACUGGAACUGAGACACGGUCCAGACUACUACGGGAGGCAGCAGUAGGGAAUCUUACGCAAUGGGCGAAAGCCUAACGGAGCAGCGCCGCGUGAGUGAUGAAGGUCUUCGGAUCGUAAAACUCUGUUAUUAGGGAAGAACAAAUGUGUAAGUAACUAUGCACGUCUUGACGGUACCUAAUCAGAAAGCCACGGCUAACUACGUG